rnacentral:lncRNA from 1 species
CCCCACUGGAGUGGAGUGCCCCAAGCCAUGGUGCUGAGUGUGCAUCACUUGGGUUCUCUUCAAAACUUUUCCAUAGGGAUUAGAAACCUUUGGGGCUAAGAAUUGGUUCCAGUGUAUUCAUCUAACAGGUUAUUUGUCUUUUCACUACCCCAAGUCUAAAUUGUGUUCAGCUUGUGGGGAAUCAAAGAACCUCUCCUUUUUGUGGUUACGAGCCAACACUCCAUUAAAAAGAGCAGUUCUGGGCUGGGGUUGUGGCUCAGUGGUAAAGGGUGCGCCUUGCGUGUGAGGCACUGGGUUCGAUCCUCAGCACCACAUUAAAAAUAAAUAAAUAAAUAAAGGUAUUGUGUCCAUCUACAACUAAAAAAAAUAUUUCUUAAAAAAGGGCAGUUCUGAAUUUUUUUAAUUGCUGAAUGGAAAAGCUCAGGUGGUUACUGAAGUUAGUCCUCCAGAGUGUGAGGGAUAAGUUUUGUUAAUUGGUGUAAAUUUACAAAAUAUUUGCCAGCUUAGCAUUAUGUGUCAGACGUGGCCAGCAGGCCCUGGACUACUACAUACUGGGCACUGGUCUUGUCAACAGGCCUAGGGAGGUGUAGCUGUUAACUACAGCUACAUUAACCCAACAGGACUAGUGGCUGCAACUUCUGGAGAGUUGUUAGCCCACAUGAAAUCAGUUCUUUUGCCUAAGGGACUCCCUCCCUCUUACAUUGGGAAAGCAGUUUCCCACCCAGGUGCCACAGGGGAGAUCGCUGUGUUGAGCAAUUUUCCAUGGCAUUUCUGCCUAUCUUGUGGCAGCUUUUAUCCCAGACUAUCUUUUCAAGGUGUUUGUCUAGGCAGAGAACAGAUUGGUUUUCUUACUAGAAUAAUUAAGACUAUUGUCUUCCUGCAGGGAAUAGGUGGGACAGGCUGGCUAGUAGAGCAGCUCCUCUUAUAUUUCUGGAGUUUUCUUAGCUAUGGCAUAGAUCAUCCAGUGUGCAACAUCCACUUGGCCUGUUCUUCCAUGUUACCUCCUUGGGGGACUUGCAGGGCGAGUGGAGCUGAUAUGAUCUCAAGCCCAUGCUGCCUGGUGUUCCCAUAGUAGUAAAGUCCCAGGAGCCUGCCAGCAUCCAUGAAGCUGUGGCAGGCCAGCUGGUUAGUUUACAAGCAGGGUAAGAUCUCAGAUCCUCCAUUCUUGGUAGCGCUGCCCUAUUGGGCUACCAAU